rnacentral:rRNA from 1 species
AGAGGGUGCAAGCGUUAUUCGGAAUUACUGGGCGUAAAGGGUGCGUAGGUGGUUUGUUAAGUCAGGCGUGAAAUCCUCGGGCUCAACUUGGGAAUUGCGCUUGAUACUGGCAGACUGGAUUGUGCUAGAGGAUAUUGGAAUUCCCGGUGUACCGGUGAAAUGGGUAGAUAUCGGGAGGAACAUCAGUGGGGAAGGAGGCUAUCUGGUCUAACACUGACAUUGAGCCAGGAAAGCGUGGGUAGCAACCAGGAUUAGAUACCUUGUUAUUCCACGCCUUAAACGAUUGAUAUUAGACGUCGGGAAGCUUGUCUUCUUGGUGUCGCAGCUAACGCAAUAAGUACCCCGCCUGGGGAGUACGGUCGCAAGAUUA